rnacentral:rRNA from 1 species
AACGAUUUUAUCGUGAAACCGCGAACGGCUCAUUAAACCAGCUAUAAUCUACUUGAUCUUGACAUAUAUCUACUUGGAUAACUGUGGUAAUUCUAGAGCUAAUACAUGCACAAAUUCUCUGACCUUGCGGGAAGAGCGCAUUUAUUAGAGCAAAACCAGGCGGCUUCGGUCGUUUUUUGCUGACUCAGAAUAACUCAGCUGAUCGCACGGUCCUUGUACCGGCGACGUGUCUUUUGAGUAUCUGCCUUAUCAAUUUUCGAUGGUAGUGUAUCUGACUACCAUGGUUUUGACGGGUAACGGAGAAUCAGGGUUCGACUCCGGAGAAGGGGCCUGAGAAAUGGCCACUACGUCUAAGGAUGGCAGCAGGCGCGCAAAUUACCCACUCUCGGAAUGAGGAGGUAGUGACGAGAAAUAACGAGACCGUUCUCUUUGAGGCCGGUUAUCGGAAUGGGUACAAUUUAAACCCUUUAACGAGUAUCUAUGAGAGGGCAAGUCUGGUGCCAGCAGCCGCGGUAAUUCCAGCUCUCAAAAUGCAUAGAACCAUUGCUGCGGUUAAAAAGCUCGUAGUUGAAUCUAUGCCUGAGGCUUGGUCCACUCUUUGAGUGCGUACUAGGUUCUUUGGCUUUUCGUCGGUUUUCUUGUCGUGGCCUUUAUUGGUGGCGGCAAGUGGCUGACAAUUUUACUUUGAACAAAUCAGAGUGCUUAAAACAGGCGUCUCGCUUGUAUGCUUUUGCAUAGAAUAAUGGAACACGACUUCGGUCUAGUUUUAUUGGUUUUAUAGAUCGUUGUAAUGAUUAAAAGAGACAAACGGGGGCAUUCGUAUUGUUGCGUGAGAGGUGAAAUUCUUGCGACCGCAGCAAGACGACCUACAGCGAAAGCAUUUGCCAAGCUUGUCUUCAUUAAUCAAGAACGAAAGUCAGAGGAUCGAAGGUGAUCAGAUACCGCCCUAGUUCUGACCGUAAACGAUGCCAACUAGCGAUUCGCCGGCGGAUUAUUUGCCCUGGCGAGGAGCUUCCCGGAAACGAAAGUCUUCCGGUUCCGGGGGAAGUAUGGUUGCAAAGCUGAAACUUAAAGGAAUUGACGGAAGGGCACCACCAGGAGUGGAGCCUGCGGCUUAAUUUGACUCAACACGGGAAAACUCACCCGGCCCGGACACUAUAAGGAUUGACAGAUUGAUAGCUCUUUCAUGAUUUGGUGGAUGGUGGUGCAUGGCCGUUCUUAGUUCGUGGAGUGAUUUGUCUGGUUUAUUCCGAUAACGAGCGAGACUCUAGCCUACUAAAUAGUCUGCUCAUUGCUAUUGUGUGGCAGUACUUCCUAGAGGAAUUUUCGGUGUUUAACCGCAUGAAAUUGAGCAAUAACAGGUCUGUGAUGCCCUUAGAUGUCCGGGGCUGCACGCGCGCUACACUGGUAAAGUCAGCGUGCGUCUCCUUUCUCGAAAGAGAUUGGUAAACCAGUGAACGUUUGCCGUGAUAGGGAUAGGAAAUUGCAAUUAUUUUCUGUGAACGAGGAAUUCCAAGUAAAUGUGAGUCAUCAACUCGCGUUGAUUACGUCCCUGCCCUUUGUACACACCGCCCGUCGCUGCCCGGGACUGAGCCAUUUCGAGAAAAUUGGGGAUUGCUGACUGACGGUUCUUCGGGAUUGUCUUUUGGUGAAAACCAGCUUAAUCGUAGUGGCUUGAACCGGGCAAAAGUCGUAACAAGGUGGCUGUAGGUGAACCUGCUGCCGGAUCAUUAUCGUACUCUGUUUAACUAAUACGGUAUAUGACAUGUUGAGGUCCACGUCGUAUGUUGUCGGCUAUUUCCCCACUUUGGUGGGGGGAUAGCUUUCGCAAAGGUUACGUCCCCUUUGCGACGCUGCCGGUUUGAUGGUGCCGGCUGGCGGACGAUAUUCACUGGACUAUGUAUGAAGUCUGAUGGCCUUUACUGGUCUUCAGCAAAACGGCUUCGUUGGCUUCUGCGUUGCACCGAGCAAUUGUGUUCGUCGUGGGUUGUUGUUGUUUGUUGACGUCGUUUCGGCGGCGGCAGCGGCGGCGAUGAUCCACGGCGGCGACGUCCGUGAUUGCGUUGAAGUGUGACGAGACGCGCGCUAUGCCCCACAAGGCUUGCGACGCGAGAAUUAAUGAACACCGGGUUGGUGCCGCCAACAAAUUCAUUCUCUUUCUAAUCUUUUUAACAAGGCCUUUUUAUACACAGCCUUACCGGUGGAUCACUC